rnacentral:rRNA from 1 species
GAUGAACGCUGGCGGCGUGCUUAACACAUGCAAGUCGAACGAAGCACUUACUUGGAAGUUUUCGGAUGGAAAAGUAAGUGACUGAGUGGCGGACGGGUGAGUAACGCGUGGGCAACCUGCCCCAUACUGGGGGAUAACAGCUGGAAACGGCUGCUAAUACCGCAUAAGCGCACGGUCUCGCAUGAGACAGUGUGAAAAACUACCGGUGGUAUGGGAUGGGCCCGGCGUCUGAUUAGCUAGUUGGUGAGGGAGAGGCUCACCAAGGCGACGAUCAGUAGCCGACCUGAGAGGGUGACCGGCCACAUUGGGACUGAGACACGGCCCAA